rnacentral:misc_RNA from 1 species
CUCAGCUUUGCUAAGAAGGCAAAUUGAGCGUGAGUGGGUUACCCAAGACCAAUGGCCCCACCAAGAGAUAUCUCUGAAAUUGUCAAGGAAUUCUAAAGGUUGCUAAUCCAAGAAGAAAAAGCCUAGGUGUGCCCAGCAGUGAGCCGAGUGUGUUACUUGGGUGGUCUUUUAGCCCAUGAGUGCAUUAUGUGAGCCAAGAACAUUAUAAAGGGCAACAACUUCCAG